AAUGCUCAAGGUGACUUAGGAUUUAACUGUCAACCCUAAUUAUAUUUCAAUCUUUCAAAUCCAUCUCAUGGAUUAUCCUAACCAAGAUUUUGUUAAAUUGAAAUACACUGAUGCAUAUCUCUUACCAAUUCAGAGGGGUCAAUUCCAUCUUGACUUACACACUGACUUGAUAAGUAUUUGACUGCACCUAGUAUCUUUCUGUCACUAAGUUAGAAACUCAGAUAGUUCGAUACUAAAGUACAGUGAGUUUCUUAUAAGUCACCGUGAUGGUCUU
rnacentral:lncRNA from 1 species